UACGUAGGGUGCAAGCGUUAAUCGGAAUUACUGGGCGUAAAGCGUGCGCAGGCGGUUCGCUAAGACCGAUGUGAAAUCCCCGGGCUUAACCUGGGAACUGCAUUGGUGACUGGCGGGCUAGAGUAUGGCAGAGGGGGGUAGAAUUCCACGUGUAGCAGUGAAAUGCGUAGAGAUGUGGAGGAACACCAGUGGCGAAGGCAGCCUUCUGGGCCAACACUGACGCUCAUGCACGAAAGCGUGGGGAGCAAACAGG
rnacentral:rRNA from 1 species